CCGACGGUGAGGGGCGAAAGCUGGGGGAGCAAACCGGAUUAGAUACCCGGGUAGUCCCAGCUGUAAACGAUGCGCGUUAGGUGUGUCAGUGACCACGUGUCACUGAUGUGCCGAAGGGAAACCGUGAAACGCGCCGCCUGGGGAGUACGGUCGCAAGGCUGAAACUUAAAGGAAUUGGCGGGGGAGCACCACAACGGAUGGAGCCUGCGGUUUAAUCGGACUCAACGCCGGAAAUCUCACCGGAUAA
rnacentral:rRNA from 1 species